UGGCUCUCGCAUCGAUGAAGAACGCAGCGAAAUGCGAUAAGUAAUGUGAAUUGCAGAAUUCAGUGAAUCAUCGAAUCUUUGAACGCACCUUGCGCCCCUUGGUAUUCCGAGGGGCAUGCCUGUUUGAGUGUCAUGAAUAAUCUUCAACCAACCCGUCGUGCCGUGCAUCGAGGGGGUGGAUUGGACUUUUGGGGGUUGAUUCAAGCCGGCUUGCUCGGCUCCCCUGGAAUGCAUUAGUGGCCCGUCUUGCCUCUGCCGGAGUGGUGUUGGUAAAUGUGUCAUGCCCUCUUGCAGAGCCGUGUGGUCCGCUCCAUAACUUUGUCUGCCGGACAAAAAUUCACCUUGACCUUCUGACCUCAAAUCAGGUAGGACUACCCGCUGA
rnacentral:misc_RNA from 1 species